AGGCCGGAACCCAGCGACGACUUGGAGAUGAAUACGAAUAAGUCGUAUAAAAUUCUAAAUAAAAAGUGACAGUGACAAUUUUUAUUUAUAAGUCUUGGCCAAAUUACGUGCCAGCAGUCGCGGUAACACGCAGAAGACUAGUGUUAUUCAUCUUUAUUAGGUAUAAAGGGUACCUAGACGGAUUAUCAAGCCAAAUGAAGGGACUAAUUUUCUAGAGUUUUAUGGAAGAAUAUCGAAUUGCUGGAGGAAAGUCAACAUUUUUUGAUACCAGUGAGACGGACAACUGCGAAGGCGUUAUUCUAUGUAACAACUGACGUUGAGGGACGAAGCCUGGGGGAGCGAUAAGGAUUAGAUACCCUAGUAGUCCCAGGAGAAAAUAAUGAGUGUUAUAGACUAGAUUUGAAUUAGUUUAUAAAUGAAAGUGCAAGCACUCCACCUCAUGAGUAAAGCGGCAACGCCGGAAUUGAAAUCAUUAGACCGUGUCUGAAACCAGUAGUGAAGUAUGUUAUUUAAUUCGAUAACCCGCGAAUAACCUUACCACGUUUUGAAUAUUUUUACAAGCGCUGCACGGCUGUCUUCAGUUAAUGUCGUGAGAUUUUGGUUAGUUCCAUUAAUUAACGAAAGCCCUUAUUUUAUUUAUCAAUAAAAUAUUUCGCCGUUACAUUGGUUAGAAUAUAGGUCAGACAGCUCGCUCCU
rnacentral:rRNA from 1 species